AUUGAACGCUGGCGGCAGGCCUAACACAUGCAAGUCGAGCGAGCGGCGGACGGGUGAGUAAUGUCUGGGAAACUGCCUGAUGGAGGGGGAUAACUAACGGAAACGGUAGCUAAUACCGCAUACCAUCAGAUGUGCCCAGAUGGGAGUAGCUAGUAGGUGGGGUAACGGUUCACCUAGGCGACGAUCCCUAGCUGGUCUGAGAGGAGGACCAGCAACACUGGAACUGAGACGCGGGCCAGACGCCUGCGGGAGGCAGCAGUGGGGAAUGUUGCGCGAUGGGCGCAAGCCUGAUGCAGCCAUGCCGAGUGUAUGAAGGAGGCGUUCGGGUUGUAAAGUACUUUCAGCGGGGAGGCGUUACCCGCAGAAGAAGCAGCGGGUAGCUCCGUGCCAGCAGCCGCGGUAAUUC
rnacentral:rRNA from 1 species